AUUGAACGCUGGCGGCAGGCCUAACACAUGCAAGUCGAACGAGUGGCGGACGGGUGAGUAAUGUCUGGGAAACUGCCUGAUGGAGGGGGAUAACUACUGGAAACGGUAGCUAAUACCGCAUACCAUCGGAUGUGCCCAGAUGGGAUUAGCUAGUAGGUGGGGUAAAGGCUCACCUAGGAGACGAUCCCUAGCUGGUCUGAGAGGAGGACCAGCCACACUGGAACGAAGACACGGUCCAGACUCCUACGGGAGGUAGCAGUGGAGAAUAUUGCACAAUGGGCGUAAGCCGGAUGCAGCCAUGCCGCGUGUAUGAAGAAGGCCUUCGGGUUGUAAAGUACUUCCAGCGGGGAGGCGUUACCCGCAGAAGAAGCACCGGCUAACUCCGUGCCAGCAGCCGCGGUAAUAC
rnacentral:rRNA from 1 species